rnacentral:rRNA from 1 species
AGAGUUUGAUCAUGGCUCAGGACGAACGCUGGCGGCGUGCUUAACACAUGCAAGUCGAACGGAGUUCUUACGGAUUGAGGCUUCGGCUGAUUGAGGUUUGGACUUAGUGGCGGACGGGUGAGUAACGCGUGAGCAACCUGCCUUUCAGUGGGGGACAACAGUUAGAAAUGACUGCUAAUACCGCAUAAUGUGCGUUGGGGCAUCCUCGACGCACCAAAGAUUUAUCGCUGAAAGAUGGGCUCGCGUCUGAUUAGCUGGUUGGUGAGGUAACGGCCCACCAAGGCGACGAUCAGUAGCCGGACUGAGAGGUUGACCGGCCACAUUGGGACUGAGAUACGGCCCAGACUCCUACGGGAGGCAGCAGUGGGGAAUAUUGGGCAAUGGGCGAAAGCCUGACCCAGCAACGCCGCGUGAAGGAAGAAGGCCUUCGGGUUGUAAACUUCUUUUACCAGGGAAGAAGACGUGACGGUACCUGGAGAAAAAGCUACGGCUAACUACGUGCCAGCAGCCGCGGUAAUACGUAGGUAGCAAGCGUUGUCCGGAUUUACUGGGUGUAAAGGGCGUGUAGGCGGGAAGACAGGCCAGAUGUGAAAUCCCGGGGCUCAACCCCGGAACUGCAUUUGAAACCGUAUUUCUUGAGUAUCGGAGAGGCAGGCGGAAUUCCUAGUGUAGCGGUGAAAUGCGUAGAUAUUAGGAGGAACACCAGUGGCGAAGGCGGCCUGCUGGACGACAACUGACGCUGAGGCGCGAAAGCGUGGGGAGCAAACAGGAUUAGAUACCCUGGUAGUCCACGCCGUAAA